CCUUCUCUCUCUUCCUUCUCGCAGCACAACGCCCAUCGUCUGAAGGCGCUGUCUCUCUCUCUCUCUCGCUCUCGCUCUUUCUAUCUAUGCACCCAAGCCUGCGGAGUAACCAAAGUGAAAAGGUAGCUCUGCGGUGAAUCUAGGAAGAGAGUCUUGCUCGCUCUACAGUGGAUACCCAAGAGACCCAUCAAGCAGGAAGAAUCUUUGCUUUUGAACGAAGAUCUUCCUCUUCUGCUGAGCUUGUUAUACAUGCUUAUGUGGUGAUCACUCACAAUUUGGUCAGUCUCAGCUGAAUUAUCACAUGCUUGUAUGAGUUCAUCCUGCUAUAGGAACCUUUAUCUUGGAAAGUUGCAUUAGCAAUGAGAUCGGAGUGAUCUGGUGGAAUCUUUUUGGUGGAGCGUGACUCGAGAGACAUGUUGGUGGCCUGAGAAACAAUGCCAAACCAGCUAUGGUUUGCACUGCCAGUGAUCUACAAGAAUGGAAGGACUUCCCAAAGGGACUCAAGGUCCUUCUUCUUGACCAGGACUCUGAUUCUGCUUCAGAGAUAAGAUCAAAGCUGGAGUUAAUGGACUAUGUUGUUUUUACAUUCUGCAAUGAGGACGAGGCUCUAUCGGCAAUAGCUAGCAAACCUGAUAGCUUCCACAUAGCUAUGGUCGAGGUGAGUACAAGCAGUAAUGGGAGUUUCGAGUUCCUCGAAGCUGCUAGAGACUUGCCUACCAUCAUGAUGUCAAAUAACCAUUGUCUCAGCACCAUCAUGAAGUGUAUAGCUCUUGGUGCGGUCGAGUUCCUCCACAAACCGCUCUGUGAGGACAAACUCAGGAAUAUUUGGCAGCAUGUCGCCCACAAGGCAUUUAAUGCAGGGGUCAGUGAGGUCUCGGAGUCUUUGAAACUUGUCAAAGAAACUUCGGUCUCCAUGUUGCAGCGUCAAUUGAAAAAUGAGGAGCAGAACAAUGACGAGUCAAGAGAAAUGAGAAAACUGUCUGUUCAUGAAACUGAUCAAGAGAUGUCCGCUGCGAGUGAUAAGUAUCCUGCACCAUCGACUCCACAGUUGAAGGGAGGUGCACGGCUCCUAGAUGAUGGGGAUUGCCAAGAUCAAACGAAUGGAACGGUCGAGAAGGAGAGCGGGGAGCAUGAUGGAGAGUCAAAAUUUGUCGAAACAACUUGUGAUGAUUCAAUGUCUGAGAAUAUCCAGGAAGCUCAAGGCCAGAGAGAUAGGGAUGUUAUGGUAAAAGAAGAGGAUGAUUCAGCCAACAAUUCCAAGUGCGAGAGCAUGAUAUCUCCGCUGUCUGAAAACAAAGAUAGGUCCCACGAUGUACAUGGUUGCAAUGAUAAUCUAAGCAAAGCAUCCAGUCUUCAUAAUUCUGCCAGAGCACGGGUUAACAGGAAGAAGAUGAAGGUUGACUGGACCCCAGAACUGCACAAGAAAUUUGUGCAGGCGGUGGAGCAGCUAGGCGUGGACCAAGCCAUACCUUCUCGCAUACUCGACCUUAUGAAAGUCGAAGGCCUGACGAGGCACAAUGUGGCGAGUCAUCUCCAGAAAUACCGAAUGCAUAGGAGACACAUCUUGCCCAAGGAAGAUGAACGCAGAUGGCCACAUUCUCGCGAUGGUGUCACCAGGAGUUACUAUCCGCAUCGACCUAUCAUGGCCUAUCCGACUCACCAUCCUGGUCACCCCCUUCCACCAGGAGCAGCCUAUCCUGUGUGGGGGGCACCGCCCAGUAAUCAUCCAGCCGGCAUGCAGAUGUGGGGGCCGCCUGGCUAUCCGCCAUGGCCAUCUCCAGAAAACUGGCAUUGGAAGACUGCCUAUCCUGCGAUGCAAGCCGACGUGUGGGGUUGCCCAGUGAUGCCAUCUUCUCAUCACGGUCCCAGCUUUGCCUUUCCUCAGAAUGCACCCGUUUGCCAUCCCCCCGACGGAUUGGAAAACAGCUUCGCUGGAAAUUCGUUCGACUAUCAUCCGGACGAGGAAGUGAUUGACAACAUCGUGAAAGAGGCGAUAAGCAAGCCGUGGCUGCCCUUGCCGCUGGGGCUGAAGCCGCCUUCCACCGACUGCGUCCUCGCCGAGCUCUCCAGGCAAGGCAUCCCCAGCAUUCCUCCCCAUGCCGACCAGCUCGGCCCAUGCUGACGCAGCAUGGCGUCGCGCCGGCUCCAUCCCCCCGACGAAACCUAGCGGCCCCCCUCGAUUCCGGCGAGGAGAGGACCGACCGGAUCCAUCGGCUCAUAUUUCCGGCCCGCCCAAAUUUGGCCGUUCAACGUUCAAUAAAAAAAAAGUGGGCGCGUGAGAAUGACGCGCCGUUUUUGGGUAGGAUGUGACGCGACGACGACGCGCGCGAUCUUAUCCGACGGCAGAGAAUAAAGGCGGGCAACCAGAAGCUUCAAGGAGGCGGGCCGAUGUGGGCGGCUGAGGAGUGGCCGCGUAGGUCGACGCCUCGCCACAUGUUGGUGGGCCCUCUUUUGUGGUGGUACAACGACAGGAGUCAUGUCGUGUUUAGCAAGAAAAGAGGGACAGGAGUGUGUUCCAAUUGGAGCCGCUUCAGCUGGAGCCUCUUUUUGUUGGAUUUGGGUCGUGUCGAUGUUUGCAUGUUUUCCCAUGUUGGUCCUUUCUGAGGAUUGAGGGGUAUGGCCCUUGCUUCUGUCAGGGGUGGGGGGAAUUGGAGAAAGCAAAGAAAUGCCGGGCCGUCGCGAUAAUAAUCUUGAAUGGAUAGAAGGAGAAAAUGCACAGCACAGCUACGAGUUAUUCAAUUCGGCAGAUGGGUGAUUAGUGAUGCUUUUGGUUCAUGAACGGGAUGUGCAUGCAAAGGAUGCCUGAUCAUUUAGCCAAUGCGACUGUACUUAAUCGCAUUUGAUGUGGUGGUCUAGUCAUCAUUGGUUGUCUUA